rnacentral:tRNA from 1 species
UCCCUGAUGGUUCAGGGGUUAGGACUCUGUGCUUCCAUUCCAGGGGGCAUGGGUUCAAUCCCUGGUUAGGGAA